AACGAACGCUGGCGGCAUGCCUAACACAUGCAAGUCGAACGAGACCUUCGGGUCUAGUGGCGCACGGGUGCGUAACGCGUGGGAACCUGCCCUUAGGUUCGGAAUAACUCCCCGAAAGGGGUGCUAAUACCGGAUAAUGUCUUCGGACCAAAGAUUUAUCGCCUUUGGAUGGGCCCGCGUUGGAUUAGCUAGUUGGUAGGGUAAAAGCCUACCAAGGCGACGAUCCAUAGCUGGUCUGAGAGGAUGAUCAGCCACACUGGGACUGAGACACGGCCCAGACUCCUACGGGAAGCAGCAGUGGGGAAUAUUGGACGAUGGGCGAAAGCCUGAUCCAGCAAUGCCGCGUGAGUGAUGAAGGCCUUAGGGUUGUAAAGCUCUUUUACCCGGGAUGAUAAUGACAGUACCGGGAGAAUAAGCUCCGGCUAACUCCGUG
rnacentral:rRNA from 1 species